ensembl:lncRNA
GCUGACUUGGUGCUGAUGUGGCAGCUGGAACGGUGGGGAGGGGAGGAUUGCUGGUGCUCCUUCUGAUGCCCUGAUUCUCUCCUCUGGCAGCUUCUUGAAGGAGGUGAGUAAGAUGAGGCUCAAGAGGCACUAAGUUGCAGGAGCUCACCUAGCAGCCCAGACAGAGGCCCCCACGUCCCAUCAUGGGAUCAUACAAGCUGUCUCUCAGUGCCUGGGCCUGAGGACUGGAAAGGAAGAUAGGGGCUGCAAUGGAAGGGCCCCUCCCUCCAUGAAGAUACCCCUACUGGCUGCCAGCAGCACCAAGUAGCUAGUCUGGGCUUCCGGAGUCUCUCUUCCUAGGGGUCUCCAGGCUGACAGAACGCUCCUUGUUUUGCCCAGGGAGGCUGGGGCUGUACUCCCCCCAUCCUGAGUGCAUUCAAGAGCAGAAG